rnacentral:rRNA from 1 species
CGGGGGGCUGCAGCAGUGAGGAAUAUUGCACAAUGGGGGGAACCCUGAUGCAGCAACGCCGCGUGGAGGAUGACGCAUUUCGGUGUGUAAACUCCUUUUAUAUGUCAAGAAAAUGACGGUAGCAUAUGAAUAAGCACCGGCUAACUCCGUGCCGGCAGCCGCGGUAAUACGGAGGGUGCAAGCGUUACUCGGGAUCACUGGGCGUAAAGGACGCGUAGGCGGGUUGGAAAGUCAGGUGUGAAAUCCUACAGCUUAACUGUAGAACUGCACUUGAAACUUCUAAUCUAGAGUAUGGGAGGGGGAGAUGGAAUUAGUGGUGUAGGGGUAAAAUCCGUAGAUAUCACUAGGAAUACCUAAAGCGAAGGCGAUCUCCUGGAACAUUACUGACGCUAAGGCGUGAAAGCGUGGGGAGCAAACAGGAUUAGAUACCCUUGUAGUC